ensembl:lncRNA
UAAUGAACUUGUCCUAUCCUGGUACAUUAUAUACACGUCAGUGAGUGUGGGUGUAGGUGUGUGUUCUGUUUUACCCCAGGAGGACCGCCUGUGUGCUACAUAGUGAUGAAGGACACUUGGUUAUCUCUACCUGGCACCCUUAUCACGUGUGACACCUUUCAACAACCCUCCGUCCCCACCUUUCUGUCCAAUGCGCUCUGAAAAUGGGGGCCAGAGAUAAGGAGCGUGUGUUUGCAUGUCUACGAGUUUGUGUGCACGCAUGGCACAGUGAGUGGGAGACAAGAAAGCAAAUUUGUACAAGUCACAACGGCGCCGGGAGGAAUGUGCAUUCUGUUGUGGUGUAAUUAUGGCCAUAACUACAAGAAGAAGCCCCACAUUAUGAUAAUGGUGGUAUUGCUGUUUCUGAACACUCCCUCCAUCGCUGUAAUGAAGGGUACGAGAUGGAUAAAAGAGCAGGAAGUGGCUAGCUAUCAGGAGUGUGGAUGGACAGAGUUCUGAGCAGAGAGCCAGGCCUUUUGGCCGGUCUCCAGCGGGGACGGUGGGUGUCCCUUUGCCAGCUGGCAGCCUGUCUCUCCCAUCUGUGGAGCCUAAGAGAGUGUGCAGUAAUCUCCCGGAGACAGCGCGCCUCGACCCGGGCCCGAUUUAAAGGGAUACGGCCAGCUGGCCGGGCACGAGCAGGCCUGUACCAGGGAGAGGAGAAGGAAGGGCAGGAGAAGGCCACAGAGAAGGGAGGGGGAUGAGCGGGUGAGCCGCGAUGAAGCAGGUCGGGUGUGAUGGCGAGCGUGAUGCGGGGACCGAGGAUCGGUGGUCAGGGAGCAAUAAAGAGCACUGAUAAGAAUGAUUCAAGUCCGGCUGCCAGCAAAUAAUGGAACAGGCAGAAUGUCAUUUUGCUGCUUAAAUCUACUGUACGUGUGGGUGCCAGGUGAGGAGCGGAGAAUGUUAAGAGGGAGACAGAGGAUGAUUCAAGUAUACAGCUGUGGCCUGUUAACAUGCAAGGUCAAAAACGCUGCACGGAAAUAUGCUUAAAACACGCUAACAAAAACACCUUUUGCAGUAAGCAUACAUGCACAUCUAGGCAACCUCAUAUCUUAAAGAUAUUAAAGUGAGAACAUCAUGUGCAGGUGUGAUCACACAAGACACCAAGAGACACACACGCCUGCAGCAAUUGCAAAAGAAUAAGUGAACCAUGCAAAUCCACAGAUCCGCAGGAAGACAGGGGAAAGACAAGGUGGAG